GUACUGCUGAGGAGUCCAAAACUAGGACGAAACAGCUGUCCAGUAU
rnacentral:hammerhead_ribozyme from 1 species